rnacentral:tRNA from 1 species
AAAUAAGAAGCAAAAAAAAUUGCAGUUAGUUUCGACCUAAAAAUAUGGUGAAAACACCCUUAUUUA